AUUGAACGCUGGCGGCAGGCUUAACACAUGCAAGUCGAGCGGGGUGAUGGUGCUUGCGCUAUCACUUAGCGGCGGACGGGUGAGUAAUGCUUAGGAAUCUGCCUAUUAGUGGGGGACAACAUCUCGAAAGGGAUGCUAAUACCGCAUACGUCCUACGGGAGAAAGCAGGGGAUCACUUGUGACCUUGCGCUAAUAGAUGAGCCUAAGUCGGAUUAGCUAGUUGGUGGGGUAAAGGCCUACCAAGGCGACGAUCUGUAGCGGGUCUGAGAGGAUGAUCCGCCACACUGGGACUGAGACACGGCCCAGACUCCUACGGGAGGCAGCAGUGGGGAAUAUUGGACAAUGGGGGGAACCCUGAUCCAGCCAUGCCGCGUGUGUGAAGCAGGCCUUAUGGUUGUAAGGCACUUUAAGCGAGGAGGAGGCUCUUUUGGUUAAUACCCAAGAUGAGUGGACGUUACUCGCAGAAUAAGCACCGGCUAACUCUGUGCCAGCCGCCGCCGUAA
rnacentral:rRNA from 1 species